GUUGGAGAUCCCUUUCUUGUAGAGUUUUUCCCUGUGAGCCUAGAUCUUGGGAGGGAGAUGACUAAGACAAGAAGGGACUAUUCUUGAGUGCGAUGACUGUUGAAGUCCGUGACUUACCAUCAGGAUAAAGCCACUGCUCCAUCACUGCAUCAAAAAUGAGAGAUAAUGAAUGAAAAAUAUCUGAAGAAGGAUCAAAACAACAACUUUAUUUUUACGUGUCCAAACCAAGUGAACUGAUGACUGAAGGAAAUAGAAAUUUACUUCCAGCGAAGAAAUAUUUUCUGGUCAUCCAAAGAUUUGAAACUCCUGUAACAUCUGAUUAAGCACAAGCACAUAGAGAAGUACACUGCCAGCCCAGAUGUAUCUGUGAUGACACAUCUUCUGAAGGAGCUAACAAAAUUUUUGCAAUGCUUAGGCACAAAGUUUGUAGUCUACAACCUCUCAGAUUCAUGAAAGAAGCAAUCUGACUUAACCUGAAACUGAAAAAGGAACAGAACAAUGCCUUCUCUUUUCCCAUUUCACUGUGCACGAGGGAACCUGAGUUAUAUUGCCUUCUCAAUGUUUAAGUUGCUUAUGUUUGUUAUGGUACACAUAACCUCUUCAGAGAACAUCCUGAAUAUCUUUUCAAAAAUAAUAUCAGUUUUGUUUUAGAUAUGUUUUAAGUUUUUCUAUGAUGCAUUUAGCAUGAAGUUCUAACAAUAGCAGUCAGUCAAUUUGAGAAAAGAACAGCAGUCAGGUAAGUUGCUAAGGUUAUUACAGUGACAAAAGCAUCCAAUUAUUCUCUUUACUGAACAAAUAUGUUUAAAAAUCAAUAUGCAUUAUUCUAGUUUGAUAAAUAGUUGAAACAUUUUCUUUAAAUCAAUAUCUUACGUAAAGUAUAUUUUACUAGAAGACUGAAAUCUGACAUAGUUCACAUAGAAUUUGGCAGUCCUAUUUCAUCUGGUCCAUGUGAAGCAAAGGUAUAGAACACAUUUCCUAGAGUAGUUUUUUAAUGAAUUAUCAUGCACUGACUGACACCUGGACAGACUUGGAGAGCUGUGUGUAUUCGUUUACCACUUUGAGUGCAUCUCAUCUCUUAUUUCAAUAUCAAUCCACUGAAAGCUGUGGCUAUAUUUUUUCAGAUAAAUUUUUUGUAAGUAAUAGACAUUGAAUUAUGAAAGUAAAUAGAAAUUUUACCACUGUCACUGAAAUGCUCAAGUUUUGACUAUUAGUAUUGUAGCUGAACAAACACCAGGAAGAAUUUUUUGUUUUUCUGUGAGCAAAUAUGCACAAACUCUCCAACUCAUCCAGUAAAAAAAGUCAUGCAAGGCAACAGACAUUCUCUGCUUCUUUUUAUCUUGGUAUGACUCAAAGCUUGUAUUGAGGGAAGCACAUUAAGAAUGUGUUUAAGUCAUAAAGAAAUUAGUUUAAUUUAAGCAUAUGCUUUCAAGGUUUUUCUGAAAGCUUGCCUUCUGCAUGAGUUCAGUUGAGUCUGAACUUGAAGGAAUUUCAAAGAUACUUUUGAAGUAUACAACACAGUUGUGUGCAAAUCAGUGUCACUCAACUAUGUCAUAGUCUACAGUGACUCACACUCAUAAAGCUGGGAUGAAAAACAGGCCAUACACUAUCCUGAAUUAACAUAGUUAACAUAAGUGAAAGGACAGUGACACUGUCCUGCACUGUCCUGCAGUCACAGAUGAAAUAGCAACAGUAGGACAGAGAAACUAAUCUGAAUCCUAACUACGGGAACCCAAAAUAUUUCUGGCUCAAUUUGUCAAAGUAAGGUUUUAUUCAUUUUUAUUUAUUUUUUAAAACAAUUUAGUGGCUAAAUUUUAAAAGAAACUAAUCCAAACAGCUUCUGGGUGGAACACAAAAAGAUACUGGUGUGCAAACAAGUACGCUAGUCACUCUUGUGUUCCUGUGCAUUGACUGACACUGAGAAAUGUAUAGGUGACCAAUACUGGUUGGAAAAUCUUGUAUCUAUCGUUCUAUAUUUUUUUAAUGGGAAAUUUGGAAGAGUUUAAGUCUUCUAUAGAAUGAAUUGCAAUACUUCCUACAGCAGCAGAGGACUAUUUGGCAGUUGUUUUGCUAGGAAAAAUGCAGACAAAUUGUAGAUUUAUACUGGGGGGAGGGGAGGGGAGAAAAAACCCACUGAGAAGCCUAGAACAAAAGUAAGCAUUAUUUUUUAGGUUCAAAAGCCAGAACUGUUGAGAGUUCAUUAUGUGUGUUGAUACUAGAGGAAGAAAAUAAUAAAUUCUGUCUAUAAUCAGGCAUGGACAUAGUAUAUGGUAGGUCAGCCUGAUUUAUUGCAGAUAUUUAUGAAUUUCUUUUCCUCAUAAACAACAAUUAGCUUAAUAUUAAGCAGAACACUACAUGAGUGAAACACAUCAAGCUUGUGAGAUAAGUCUAAUCUCAGCCACUAGACAAGUUGUUAAUAGACAUUCAAAUCUCAGUGCAGUUACAUUUACUUUCCCCUGCUAAGUAGAAAGGUGUUUGGUAUUCUCUGCAGCUGGUGUCACUAGAAUGAUGCUAAUGAUAGUUGAUCUCCUUCUUGCUCUUGCAUAACUCAAGUCCUCUAUUAAAAUCAAAGCUGUCAGAAAGAAAAUGAUAGAAUAAAACCAGAUGUAAUGUUAAUCUCCACUUCUGGCAUCAUCCACCUAAAUGCGCAAAAAUAUUCUUUAUCAGAUGCAAUUGCUUUCAUGAACGCUUACAUACGUGCCUCCUUAAUCACUGACAUUUACUUGAUGGAAAAAAAAAAAAAGCUUCUUGCUGUGCAAAUAAGUGUGUUAAAUGAGUUUCUCGUUUGGUUUUUCCUCCCUCUUUGCUGAUGCCCUAGCUUGUGGCCUUACAGAACAUAGUACAUGAGCUGACUUUGGUAAUUUAAACAAAUCUGAAACUUCUCUUCAACUCAGGGACCACUGAGUAUUUGUUGAAUCUUGUCCUUCUGUUGGUUCCAGCUCAUUUUCCUUACUGUCGGCCCUUUCUCUAAAAAAUUAAGUUCCUCAUCCAUCUUAUUGCCACAUUGGCAUGAAUCGAUCUGCAACAGAAUCCCUCUCUGACAUGUCAACCAGUUCUACAUCACCAAAAGAUAAAUUCAUCAAAAUUUUUGUUUGGCCUCAAAACAGAUUUUUUCCUUUCAAUCUAGUGAUAUAGAGAAUGCUUUCAAUAAUGUAGUUGAAACUGAUUUCCUUCAUUCAGCCCAAGGAAUGUCAAAGUAACAGUCUGCUAACGUAUGGG